GCAUUAAUGGGGUAGUGGUAACCUGGGUCGUUGCCAUAUUAGUUUGGCUGCGUCCUUCGACCCGCCGGGGGUUCGAUUCCCCCUUAAUGCA